GAUGAACGCUGGCGGCGUGCCUAAUACAUGCAAGUCGAGCGAACAGACGAGGAGCUUGCUCCUCUGACGUUAGCGGCGGACGGGUGAGUAACACGUGGAUAACCUACCUAUAAGACUGGGAUAACUUCGGGAAACCGGAGCUAAUACCGGAUAAUAUAUUGAACCGCAUGGUUCAAUAGUGGAAGACGGUUUUGCUGUCACUUAUAGAUGGAUCCGCGCCGCAUUAGCUAGUUGGUAAGGUAACGGCUUACCAAGGCAACGAUGCGUAGCCGACCUGCGAGGGUGAUCGGCCACACUGGAACUGAGACACGGUCCAGACUCCUACGGGAGGCAGCAGUAGGGAAUCUUCCGCAAUGGGCGAAAGCCUGACGGAGCAACGCCGCGUGAGUGAUGAAGGUCUUCGGAUCGUAAAACUCUGUUAUUAGGGAAGAACAAAUGUGUAAGUAACUAUGCACGUCUUGACGGUACCUAAUCAGAAAGCCACGGCUAACUACGUG
rnacentral:rRNA from 1 species